GGCCAGCAGCCGCGGUAAAACGUAGGAGCCAAGCGUUAUCCGAAUUCACUGGGCGUAAAGCGUGUGCAGGCGGAGGGAUAAGUUGGAUGUGAAAUCUCCUGGCUCAACUGGGAGAGGCCGUUCAAUACUGUUCAUCUAGAGGGCAACAGAGGGAGGUGGAAUUCCCGGUGUAGUGGUGAAAUGCGUAGAUAUCGGGAGGAACACCAGUGGCGAAAGCGGCCUCCUGGGUUGCACCUGACGCUCAGACACGAAAGCUAGGGGAGCGAACGGGAUUAGAAACCCCGGUAGUCCUAGCCGUAAACGAUGUAGACUUGGUGUCGGUGGGGUAAAAGCCAUCGGUGCCGGAGCCAACGCGAUAAGUCUACCGCCUGGGGACUACGGCCGCAAGGUUAAAACUUAAAGGAAUUGGCGGGGGAU
rnacentral:rRNA from 1 species